rnacentral:lncRNA from 1 species
AUCGUAUAUUCAUUGAGAUGUUUAUGCUGCUGUGUUAAAGACGUUAUGAGCGUAUUUACUCAACUAUUUUUGUACUUCUAAAUAUCCUGAACAACAACGGACUCCCAUAAGGAAAUUUCAAGGCAAUUGGUUGUGGUAUUAUCUCAGAAAUAUCUUCAGAAGCCAAAUGACGUAUUCUACUUUACUGCGAUCUCUUCAGCAAGCUGUGGUCAAAGAAAAUAUCAUUGCAAUAAUAGGUAAAGGCAGAAUUUGGAAGUGAAAUGUGCAAGAACAAAUUGGUCCAUGGUAUGGCUGGCAAAUUUCAAUCAGGAAUGCCAAAAAUUGGGCCAAGAAUUAUGUAUUGGUUCUUUCGAACAGGAUAGAAACAAGAAACAAGAUUAGCUGCACAGAGAAUCAGGGUUGAUGACUCCAUAUACAGAUGAGGACAUACAAAUAAUAAAAAAUGGCCAUGGAAGAACAUGCUGGGAAGUGAGUUUUUGUGGAUAAAUUUAUACGAACUUGACAUUGCUUGUCGAAAAUUGUAAUGUUGCAUUAUAAGAACUUGACAUUGAUUGUCGAAAAUUGUAAAUAUUAGUCUGGUUGUUUUUUGUAAAUAGUCCUGCAGGAGCAAUUGUAAAUAUGCAACUGUGACCAAAUAUAUUGAUUUUUUGUUUCCUUGUAUAAGUG